rnacentral:tRNA from 1 species
GCCGGGGUAGCUCAGCGGUAGAGCAGCGGUUUCGUAAACCGUUGGCCGCGGGUUCGAUUCCCGCCUCCGGCU